rnacentral:lncRNA from 1 species
UGCUCACCUCGGGUCCCGGCCGGUAAUAAACUCCUGUGUGGAUUUAAUAUCAGUCUCUGGUUGGUUCUCUCUCACCGGGUGCAGCACUCUGUCCAUCUGAUAAUUCAAUACAUGAAGAUUUUGCUGAAUAAGGUCUGGUGUAUAGCAUGGUGGCUGGAUAUGCAUAGACAAGAAAUGACCAUCACAGCAUCCUUAGACCCCAUUUUGCAUUGCUUCUGUGGUAAUCCUGCAUCCUACCCGAGAAUUCUGAAGUCACAGAUCCUUCUAACUGCAGUUACUGUGUUCCUGGAUGAGAAUGUGCCUUGAAUCUCAGAAGAGACUUUGAACUUGAACUUUUCAACAAUGCUUAAACAGGAAUGUAUCCAUUUCUUCUAGAUUCUCCAAUUCAUCAGAAUUACCAGAGAUUGAACUCAAGACCUUGCGCUUGCGAGGGAGGUGUGGUGCCACUGAGGUAAAUCCCCAGCCCUUGGUUUAUUUUAAAUGAUAAAAUAAAGAAGACCACUGUGAAAAUUUUUGACAAAUUUUAAAAUAAAGAAAAUAAAUGUCAUGUAAUAUUCCAUCUCUCGUGUAUAAUAAUAAUCUAUUCAACUGUAUAACUGUAUAAGUCUGAGACUAGUAAGCAUUUGUUGUUGUUUGGAUCUGGAGUGUCCCCUUAAAGCCUCAUUUGCUCAGAGGUGGGCUUUUGGAAGGUGAUUGAAUCAUGGGUCAAUAUUGCUGAUUUAGUGUUAGGAGGUGGAUUCUGGC